UCCUAGAUCGACAACCUCCGCGACGCCGUCGCCAAGGUCGGCGAGAUCAGCGAGAACGAGAAGGCCGGGUUCAUCAGCCUCGUCUCGCGCUACCUCAGCGGCGAGGCGGAGCAGAUCGAGUGGAGCAAGAUCCAGACCCCCACCGAUGAGUUGGUGGUGCCCUACGACACCCUCGU